ACGGGAGGCAGCAGUGAGGAAUAUUGGUCAAUGGGCGGAAGCCUGAACCAGCCAAGUCGCGUGAAGGAUGAAGGUAUUAUGUAUUGUAAACUUCUUUAGACGCAGAGAAAUAAGGGGCUCGAGAGCUCUGAUGCUAGUAUGCGUAGAAUAAGGAUCGGCUAACUCCGUGCCGGCAGCCGCGGUAAUACGGAAGAUCCGAGCGUUAUCCGGAUUUAUUGGGUUUAAAGGGAGCGUAGGCGGGCCUUUAAGUCAGUGGUCAAAGCGUGUGGCUCAACCAUACCACGCCGUUGAUACUGGAGGCCUUGAGUGCACAUAAGGAUGGUGGAAUUCAUGGUGUAGCGGUGAAAUGCUUAGAUAUCAUGAAGAACUCCGAUUGCGAAGGCAGCUGUCCGGGGUGUAACUGACGCUAAUGCUCGAAAGUGCGGGUAUCAAACAGGAUUAGAUACCCUGGUA
rnacentral:rRNA from 1 species